AGUGAACGCUGGCGGUAGGCCUAACACAUGCAAGUCGAACGGCAGCACAGUAAGAGCUUGCUCUUACGGGUGGCGAGUGGCGGACGGGUGAGGAAUACAUCGGAAUCUACUUUUUCGUGGGGGAUAACGUAGGGAAACUUACGCUAAUACCGCAUACGACCUACGGGUGAAAGCAGGGGAUCUUCGGACCUUGCGCGAUUGAUUGAGCCGAUGUCGGAUUAGCUAGUUGGCGGGGUAAAGGCCCACCAAGGCGACGAUCCGUAGCUGGUCUGAGAGGAUGAUCAGCCACACUGGAACUGAGACACGGCCCAGACUCCUACGGGAGGCAGCAGUGGGGAAUAUUAGACAAUGGGCGCAAGCCUGAUCCAGCCAUACCGCGUGGGUGAAGAAGGCCUUCGGGUUGUAAAGCCCUGUUGUUGGGAAAGAAAAGCAGCAGGUUAAUACCCCGCUGUUCUGACGGUACCCAAAGAAUAAGCACCGGCUAACUUCGUG
rnacentral:rRNA from 1 species